rnacentral:lncRNA from 1 species
CGAGAAUGGAUGUCAUGUCUGUCAGGCCUUCUGUGGGGUACAGACAAUGGAGAGAGAGAAGAAUAAGAUGAGAACUCUGAUGAGCAGUUCAUUCCAUGAUGGAACAAGCUCAGUUUAGACUCAUUGCUUGUGAGUAGUGGAGCUGCAUUCUGACCCAAGUAAAUUCAACUCCAAAGCUCAUGCCCUUAAAAAGAAAAAAGUCUGAAAUCUGGUAUUCUCUACAGCAUUCAAGUAUAGACACAUGGAAGUUUCUAGGUAUGUGGAAUAUAAUCCAGCUUUGAAUAUGACAUUUUAAUAAAG